rnacentral:sRNA from 1 species
AUUUCCUGUUUUGUAUGUAUAUCGAUUCCGCUCCUCUUCUUUCCGCCAGUUUUUGUAGAGACAGCAUCUUGUUGUCCAGGCUGGUCUCGAACUCUGGGGCUGAAGUGAUUCUCCCUCUUCAGCCUCCCAGAGUUCUGGGAUUAUAGGCACGAGCCACCAUGCCCAGCCUUAAUGUUGAAAACAGCCUUCCACAGAAGUCAGACGCUGGGCUACAGGAACGGCUAUGCAAUUGUUCGACGUCCAACAGUUGGGAUAGGCGGAGACCGGCUCCAGUUCAACCAGCUGUCCCAGGCUGAGCUGGAUGAGUUGGCCAGUAAGGCACCAGUCUUAACUUAUGGCCAACCUAAACAAGCCCCACCUGCGGAUUUUAUUCCUGCGCAUGUGGCCUUUGACAAAAAGCUAUUGUAAAAGGGGUUGAGUUAUUGAUUUGAUUCUCAGCUUGGUCGCUGUUGGUGUAAAGAAGAGCUACUGAUAUGUGUAUAUUAAUUUUGUAUCCCGAAACUUCGCUGAAUUCUUUUAUCAGUUCUAGGAGCUUUCUGGAGGAGUCUUUAGGAUUU